CCUAGUUGUCUGUACAUAAUUAUCUCUUUGGGUGUAUUUUUUUAUUUUAGUGAUCUCAAAUAAUGCAAUAAAUUUACCGCCUUGGGAAGUACAGCCUCAAGGGGAAAACUAAAAUGAAUUGACGGGGGCGCGCCCCACCGCUGGUAGCAUGUGGUUUAUUUCUUUUCAACACUAAGAACCUUACCUCGCCUUGACAUGUUCAUAGCUUUCCUUAUAUUUAUUGUUGCCUUCGGAGAACUCAUACACAAGUGCUGCUUAGCUGUCGUCAUCUCUUUUCGUUAUAUGUUGUGGUUUAUCCCCUAACGACCGCAACCCCUUUCCUUAUUUACCACCACCUCGGGUGGGCACUCUAAGGAGACUACCGGUGACGAACCGGAGGAAGGUGGGGAUGACGUCAAGUCAUCAUGGCCCUUACGGCCAGGGCGACACACGUGCUACAAUGGACGGUACAAAGGGUUGCCAAUCCGCUAAGUGGAGCUGAUCCCAUAAAACCAAUCGUAGUCCGGAUCGCAGUCUGCAACUCGACUGCGUAAAUUCUGAAUCACUAGAAAUCGUGAAGCAGAAUGUCACGGUGAAUACAUUCCCGGGCCUUGUACACACCGCCCGUCACACCAUGGUAGUGGGUUGCUCCGGAAAUAACCAAUCUAACCACGGGGUGGACGGUUACCACAGAAUUAGUCGAGACUGGAUUCAGGUCAGUACAAUGGAGCCAGCUUGUACCAUAAUAAGAUUCUUAAUAGCAACCUCAAAAAAUGCGCGUAUUUAAUAUGAUUAUACCAGAAUUUAACAUCAAUUUUUUGU
rnacentral:rRNA from 1 species